UUAAACUGUACCGUUACUGCUACCCCUAAUAAUAAUAAUAAUAAUAUCAAUAGCGGUAAUGUGACAAAACACACAUGGAAAAACUCGCUGACCGAAUGCAAUGUGUGAACAGGGCUGCUGGACGAAAAGUAACUUACCACGAAAGGGGCGCGUCUGUCACGGGACUGCAGUCUGCUGACCAUAAACAUCAGCCUUCAAACAUCUGAACACUUUCCAUUCAUUGACCUCGUCUGCAACAUAACUUGUUUCAACCUUUUCAGAGAAAAUGGCUUACCGUGGAAGCAGCAGUGGAGCAGGUCGGCUUCUCUCAGCUGGUGAACACUUCCUGAGCAGCGAAAUGUUUCGCUGUUCAAUGGAGGGACGCCAAAGCCGGCCCAUUAAAGAUGACGUUCGUCAAGUACCGCAAUCCCCCCUAAAAUGAGCGCCAGAAUUCAGCAACUCGAGACAUCAAACAUUUAACCUCUUUAAUCCAGAGAAUCAUGUGUGUAUACAGUGCAGACAGAACCAAAUAGCGACAAGGUGAGCUGUGCCUCACACUUCCCCAAAGACCAAUAUGCUCCAGUGCCACACGUUUUUAGAAUAUUGCUAGUUCCACUAAGUCUGGAAUACUUCCAAUAAUUGUCCUAUGCUGCUUUAGGAGCUCCCUGUUUGUCCGAGUUCUCUGCACAGAUGGCAGUCCUCUGCUUGUCAUCCUGAGAGCAGUCAUGAUUUUAGUGAGACAUUUGCUCAUUUUGUACCUAAUGAAAUUGUGACCAAUCUCUUAUAUGUGAAAAGAACACAAAACAAUAAUGAACAAGUUUUUUGUGACUAAAA